rfam:Schistosoma curassoni strain Dakar, Senegal genome assembly, scaffold: SCTD_scaffold0017613
AUCCAGCUGACAAGUCCCAAAUGGGACGAAACGCGAGACCUGGAU